GGGGGGUGUCCAGAUUCAGUGGCUCUUAGGAUCAUUGAUAGUGUUGAGAUCUGCUGGAGAGUCCUGAUUACUUGCUGCUCACCUGAGAUGGUCUGAGCAGGGCUGAACCCUAACAAAAACUAUGUGAAAUCAUAACCUUUGAGUGGGGGGUCUGCAUACCAGUGGUCACUCACAAUAGGUUUAUCUGCUAAACCAUAGGAAUGUAGCAAAAGCAAUGAUUUCAUAUUUGUUUGUUGUGUUGUGUUUAGAGGAUGAGGACAGGGGAAUGAUCACAUAACAUGGGUGAGUGUGCUUUUAAGUGGUAAUUUUUUUAGUAAAAGAAUUAAAAUCCUGAAAGGUACUGAAAUGAUUUCUAAUACAAACAGGAUCAGCAAUAGCUUUUAAAGGAUUGCUAAAGGACCAAAUGUGAUUUAAACUGUAAUAGAUAUUGAUUUCUAUAUUAGUGUUUCUGCUCCUUGUAUUGCAUAUCUGCUGCCAUUUGCUAAAACAAGAAUGACAUUUUUCAUGGUAUUGACUGUAAAGUGAGCUGAAUAGCAGUAGUCCUCUACUCUGCUUUAGAUCUUGAAAAUAAUUUUAUGCAAACAAUAAUGGUUAAGGUUCAUAAGGCUGCAUUCCCUGGGCUUUCAAAUGAUAUACCAAGUAUUCGAGAAAUGUAGACAAAAAGACUGCGAGGAGCCUAAUGAGCUAUAUCUUUGUGGGUAUGAAUUUCCCAGAAACAAUAUUAGCAAGCGUUCCUU